AGAGUUUGAUCAUGGCUCAGGACGAACGCUGGCGGCGCGCUUAACACAUGCAAGUCGAGCGAGAUCCAGCCCUUCGGGGCUGGGGACAGCGGCGAACGGGUGAGUAACACGUGAGUAAUCCACCCUCGGCAUCGGGAUAGCCCGGGGAAACCCGGAUUAAUACCGAAUGGCCCAUUCGCUCCUCGGAGAUGAAUGGGAAAGGUAGCUUCGGCCUCCGGCCGGGGACGAGCUCGCGGCGGAUUAGCUUGUUGGUGGGGUAACGGCCCACCAAGGCGACGAUCCGUAGCUGGUCUGAGAGGACGAUCAGCCACACUGGGACUGAGACACGGCCCAGACUCCUACGGGAGGCAGCAGUGGGGAAUCUUGCGCAAUGGGCGAAAGCCUGACGCAGCGACGCCGCGUGAGGGAAGAAGGCCUUCGGGUUGUAAACCUCUUUCAGGAGGGACGAAGCCACUCGGGUGAAUAGCCCAGAGGGUGACGGUACCUCCAGAAGAAGCCCCGGCUAACUACGUGCCAGCAGCCGCGGUAAUAC
rnacentral:rRNA from 1 species